rnacentral:piRNA from 1 species
UGCCCUCCCGGUGUGGUACUGCACUGC